ensembl:lncRNA
UUAUCAGAGACAGUAGUUAAAUAUUAGUAAAAUAUACUGUAAUGACUACUAAUAGGAAGGCUGUAUAUAUUUUUCAAAUCUAGGACACAGUUGAUUUGGGGGAAGAAACAACUGAUGCAUUUGGCAGAAUGUACUGGAUGAAUACAGCCAAUUCAAAUACUUUUCUGGGCCCUGAAAAAUAGUCCUCCAUCUUUAAUGGUGACCUGGCUGGAAAGAGAGUACUGAACCCUAGGUGGGUGGGCUGGAUUUCUUUUGUAAUCAUAGGGCAAACCUCUGAAGAUAUUUCCAGAAUGUCUUUUUGGCAGAAUGUUUUUAAGGGUUGAAUUAAAAUCUAGAGCUGAGUGACUGAGAAAUGCUAUAUUAUUAGUAUCGAAGAGAUAAGGAUGGGAUUUGGUCUCAGGGUUUGAAAUGACUUGGGAAUUCAUUUAUGAAUAUGUAUGGUACCCACUGAGGGUAUUGUGGCCUGAUUUGCCUCUCAGAAAUUCAGGAAGAAGAGGGAAGAGAGCAAAGUCAUGCAUGUUUUGGUUUGCAAUCUUUCCAGUGUUGAAGAAAAAAGAUGUUGAUGAAUCGAAUGAAGAUCCAAGGUUUAAAAAUGUUUGAGUUCAAGUUAAAGGUGGAUCAAGAGGGAGUAAUGUGAUUGAGCUGCCUGCAUGAUCUGUGGAAGUACCAUUUUUUAUUUAUCAUUUUUAUGAUUUUAUUUUAUUUUUUCAUGCCUCUCAUCAUUUUAUUUUUUAUUUUAUUUUAAAUUUAAUUAAAAUAUUUUUAUUUAUUUAUUUCAGAGAGAGUGAGGGAACAUGAGCAAGAGGAGGAGCAGACUCUCUGCUGAGCAGAGAGCCUGACACAGGACUGGGUCCUGGGAUUCCAGGAUCAUGACCUGAGCCAAAGGCAGACACUUAACCGACUGAGUCACCCAGGUGCCCAUAUAAUAGGUCAUUUUUGUCUCUGUCUUUAUAAGAUGUUGAGAGAAUUAUCUAGACCAGAGCUCUACCCAAACCUUUUUUCUUCUUCCCACUUGCUCUUUCUCUCCUUUCUCCCCCUCUCUUUUUCCCUCUCUCAUUUAUUCCUCAAAUAAUAGAUUUCUUUCCACUUCACUCCCACUGGUUUAACUUGAUUUUUAAAGGACUUUACUAGUAAGAUCCCAGAAUGACUCAGGGUGGAGGAAACUACAGCAGAUGGAGAGAAGGAAGCAGAGGAGGGGGUGUGGAAGGAAGGAGCUGAGGGCCAGGGCAGGUGUGGAGAGCAGCUUAGUGCAGACACACGAAUUUCUACAACCAGACUGGUAUUCUGAGAUAUUCCCUGCUGCUCUGGAAUCUCUGUAAACACAGGGAUUUGUCUGGAAUGACUUUACAGCUCAGCAGGAAGCUUGCUAAGCACCAGGAGUCUCAAACUCUGAGUGCUGCUCAGAAAUCAAGGGAGGAGGUGCUCUGAGCCUGGCAUGUGCUCCCUGCCUGGGCCUGCUGAUGCCCAUUUAAGCUGGGAGAGGGCCACAGAGGCUUGUGCAUGCUCCAAUUCCAUUUGAGGGCUGAAAGUGACCUCGCAAAGGCAUCGACUACAUCUUUGUUGCUGUUAUGGUGAGCCACACCUAAAAUGUCCC